rnacentral:rRNA from 1 species
AGUAACGCGUGGGUAACCUGCCUCAUACAGGGGGAUAACAGUUGGAAACGACUGCUAAUACCGCAUAAGCGCACAGGAUCGCAUGAUCCGGUGUGAAAAACUCCGGUGGUAUGAGAUGGACCCGCGUCUGAUUAGCCAGUUGGCAGGGUAACGGCCUACCAAAGCGACGAUCAGUAGCCGACCUGAGAGGGUGACCGGCCACAUUGGGACUGAGACACGGCCCAA